AUACGGAGGGUGCAAGCGUUAUUCGGAAUCACUGGGCGUAAAGGGUGCGUAGGCGGUUUGGUAAGUCUGAUGUGAAAUCCUAUGGCUCAACCAUAGAACUGCAUUGGAAACUGCUAAACUAGAAUACUGAAGGGGCAGAUGGAAUUAGUGGUGUAGGGGUAAAAUCCGUAGAUAUCACUAGGAAUACCGAAAGCGAAAGCGAUCUGCUGGGAAGUUAUUGACGCUGAGGCACGAAAGCGUGGGGAGCAAACGGGAUUAGAUACCCCGGUAGUCC
rnacentral:rRNA from 1 species